rnacentral:tRNA from 1 species
GGUCCCGUAGUAGAAUGGAUACUACGAAUGCCUCCGGAGCAUUAGAUACAGGUUCGAUUCCUGUCGGGACCACCA